CUUGUUGCUCUCAUGAACUCCAAACUCUUUAUAUUUAUCAUUUCCUUUUUCAUCUGGAUAUAGUAUGUAAUUUUAUUUCUCAAAUACAGUCUCUAUUAAAUGUCAAGGAACAUUUUCUGAUAUUCCAGGCACUGUUCCAGACCCUGGAGAUGUGGAGUCCCAGUCCUCUGAGAGCAAACAAGCAUAGUACCAUGUGACGAUUGCCAUAAUCCAGGUGAGCCUAAGUGCUGAUUGAGGGUGACUCUGUGCAGGCUUGCCCCAGGAUGUGAUUCCUGAGCCAGUUUACAAUCAUUAGUGGAAGUUAGGCAUUCAGAACUAUGACUUAUGCACCUGUACAUUACCAGCCCCUUAUAUGGUACUUAUUUACUUUCUAUAAUGUGCAUUUGGGCUUCUUAUAGAAAGUUUGGUCUUGUAAAAAGGCCUACCAGUGCCCUUCCCAAACCCCUACUAAAGAAUCUACAUAGCUUUUCAAAAAAUCAAACUUUAACCACAUCAACAUGGUAAGACAGAAAAACAAAUUUUUCAAAAUCUGCAAAAAUUUUGACGCUGUCACUGAUUGAGCUGGAGCCCCCGUCCUUUUUUUUUCCUCUCAGAGAUCUUAAAAUUGUGCUAAGAACAAAAAAACAAACAUCGAGAGUAGUCAGUCCUGUUAUCUGAUCUCUGAUGACUGUUGCAAAGAUUAAAACAUUCCCUGUGUCUCUCCUUUCCUUCUCUCUUGUUUUAGAGCUGGCAAUGAGAAACUCUUUUCCUCUCCUGUUUAUAGGUGAUACUCUUUAAAAAACGCUUAUAUACCAGACUAUGAUACAUAGACUAUCUCAGCACAUUCAAAAGAGCAGAAAUUGUACAGAUGACAUUUCAGACCACAGUGCAAUACAAUGAAAGAUGAUUAACACCGUUGUAAGAAUACGUGAUGAUCUAUAACAAAAGGUUAGUACAUAUUUAAUUACUCUCUGGAUGGGCAAUGGCUUUCUAAGAAGGUAAUUUUAGAAAGAAAGAAAAAAUACUACAUUAAAAAAUGUGGUUAAACGCUUGUCUUUGCUCUCUGGCAGCUUUCGCUUGUUAUGAAAGAGCACCUACCACAUUAAUAUUAAGACUGGAUGUUUUCAUGUGUGCAUUAACUGACAUUCUG
rnacentral:lncRNA from 1 species